rnacentral:sRNA from 1 species
UGCAUUUGAAGCCCAUGAGGAUGAGAACCUCCGGGGGCGGGGAGGUUCGACUCGAGCGAAGCGAGAGAACGUUGCGCCAGCAACGGCCCGCAGGGCGAGCCACGAAGUGGCGAGUAAUCCUCUAUCACCGA